rnacentral:rRNA from 1 species
UUUGAUCAUGGCUCAGAUUGAACGCUGGCGGCAGGCCUAACACAUGCAAGUCGAGCGGCAGCACAGAGAAACUUGUUUCUCGGGUGGCGAGCGGCGGACGGGUGAGUAAUGCCUGGGAAAUUGCCCUGAUGUGGGGGAUAACCAUUGGAAACGAUGGCUAAUACCGCAUGAUGCCUACGGGCCAAAGAGGGGGACCUUCGGGCCUCUCGCGUCAGGAUAUGCCCAGGUGGGAUUAGCUAGUUGGUGAGGUAAGGGCUCACCAAGGCGACGAUCCCUAGCUGGUCUGAGAGGAUGAUCAGCCACACUGGAACUGAGACACGGUCCAGACUCCUACGGGAGGCAGCAGUGGGGAAUAUUGCACAAUGGGCGCAAGCCUGAUGCAGCCAUGCCGCGUGUGUGAAGAAGGCCUUCGGGUUGUAAAGCACUUUCAGUUGUGAGGAAGGUGGUGUCGUUAAUAGCGGCAUCAUUUGACGUUAGCAACAGAAGAAGCACCGGCUAACUCCGUGCCAGCAGCCGCGGUAAUACGGAGGGUGCGAGCGUUAAUCGGAAUUACUGGGCGUAAAGCGCAUGCAGGUGGUUUGUUAAGUCAGAUGUGAAAGCCCGGGGCUCAACCUCGGAACUGCAUUUGAAACUGGCAGAC